GACGAACGCUGGCGGCGUGCUUAACACAUGCAAGUCGAACGGUAAGGCCCUGCAUUUGUGGGGUGCUCGAGUGGCGAACGGGUGAGUAACACGUGAGUAACCUGCCCUUGACUUUGGGAUAACUUCAGGAAACUGGGGCUCAUACCGGCUAGGAGCUCCUGCUGCAUGGUGGGGGUUGGAAAGUUUCGGCGGUUGGGGAUGGACUCGCGGCUUAUCAGCUUGUUGGUGGGGUAGUGUCUUACCAAGGCUUUGACGGGUAGCCGGCCUGAGAGGGUGACCGGCCACGUUGGGACUGGGAUACGGCCCAGACUCCUACGGGAGGCAGCAGUGGGGAAUAGUGCACAAUGGGCGGAGGCCUGAUGCAGUAACGCCGUGUGCGGGAUGAGGGCCUUCGGGUUGUAAACCGCUUUCGCCUGUGACGAAGCGUGAGUGACGGUAAUGGGUAAAUAAGCACCGGCUAACUACGUG
rnacentral:rRNA from 1 species